rnacentral:rRNA from 1 species
CGGAGUGGCGGACGGGUGGGGAAGUACAUCGGAAUCUACUCUGUCGUGGGGGAGUAACGUAGGGAAACUUACGCUAAUACCGCAUACGACCUACGGGUGAAAGCAGGGGAUCUUCGGACCUUGCGCGAUUGAAUGAGCCGAUGUCGGAUUAGCUAGUUGGCGGGGUAAAGGCCCACCAAGGCGACGAUCCGUAGCUGGUCUGAGAGGAUGAUCAGCCACACUGGAACUGAGACACGGUCCAGACUCCUACGGGAGGCAGCAGCC